AAUACUGCUCAGUAGGUGACCUGCGGAAGGACAUUA
rnacentral:rRNA from 1 species